CGGGAGGUGAUGACACUCUGAACGCUUGAUCACCGCAAUGAUUUCUCACUGAGUAUUCGUACUGGCUGAUCCCG
rnacentral:snoRNA from 12 species